UACAGAGGUCCCAAGCGUUGUUCGGAUUCACUGGGCGUAAAGGGUGCGUAGGCGGCGCGGUAAGUCGGGUGUGAAAUCUCGGAGCUUAACUCCGAAACUGCAUUCGAUACUGCCGUGCUUGAGGACUGGAGAGGAGACUGGAAUUUACGGUGUAGCGGUGAAAUGCGUAGAUAUCGUAAGGAAGACCAGUGGCGAAGGCGGGUCUCUGGACAGUUCCUGACGCUGAGGCACGAAGGCCAGGGGAGCAAACAGG
rnacentral:rRNA from 1 species